UUUAGUCAAUAGUUACCGGUGGCUUCAUUUAAAAUUUCAAAUUUUUCCCCGUGAAAAAGCGAGAAAUUUCGCUGCGGGGAUAGGCGCGGAUUGCUGUUACGAAGGACAUUGGUUUUUCCAAUCGCUGUAGGCUUGAACUGCAUUAUAGAGAGGUGAUGGAAUGGAAAUUUCGUAUCUCAAAUUCUUUCUGGAGCUCCUGGUAUCUCACACUUGUAGAAGUACAGAUACUGAGUGUGACAGAUGAUCCUUACGGGGUUGAUCUGAAUGCUGGCAAAUUCAGACUAUUAUGCCUUGGUGGAGGCUCUAAAAUGAAGACUUUUAAGAGAGCUGCAUGCACAACCAAGUGUCUCAUUUAUUAAAAUUAAAUGAGAAAACGAUUAGAAACGUGUGCCCCUUCAAACAUGGUAUUGCUGAAAACUCAAAGAAUUGGUGAUGCCUGACUGCUGAUUCUUUGGGUAAGGAGUGAAAUGAAGACUGUAAAAUGUAGAAGAACCAUUAUCUAUACAGCAGAGGAAGUCCUGGAGAAUAUAAGCACUCAGCGAGAAGA